GGGGCCAUGGCUCAGUGGCAGAGCCUCUGCGUGGGAUGCAGAAGGUCCCUGGUUCAAUCCCCGGUGGCAUCU